rnacentral:tRNA from 1 species
UUAAUUGAAGCCAAAAAGAGGCUUAUCACUGUUAAUGAUAAAACUGAAUAUAUAUUCCAAUUAAA